rfam:Hordeum vulgare subsp. vulgare, WGS project CAJW01000000 data, contig: morex_contig_74937
UACAUACUCCUUCCGUCCUAAAAUUAUUGUCUUAGGUUUGUCUAGAAAUGGAUGUAUCUAAAUAUUAUAACAUAACUAGAUACAUUCAUAUCUAGACAAAUCUAAGACAAGAAUUUCGAAAAGAAAGAAAGUAGAAA